rnacentral:sRNA from 10 species
CAGAUGAAGCUCACCCAUAGAAAGCAUGAGCGACUGCUUGCAGGCGGCGAAGGCUUUCUAUGAGGGGAGCAAACGAACAUGAGCAAGAAGGACGAUAGUCCGGAUUGCGAAUGGUCGUUACGAUUUCGAGAGUGCGUAGCACGGAGAAAUCGAUUAAGAUA